rnacentral:rRNA from 1 species
GAUCGGGUUUUGGGACAGUGCCUGGUGGGUAGUUUAACUGGGGCGGUUGCCUCCUAAAUGGUAACGGAGGCGCCCAAAGGUUCCCUCGGCUUGGUUGGUAAUCAGGUUUGUAGAGUGUAAGUGCAAUAAGGGAGCUUGACUGUGACACUGACGGGUGGAGCAGGUGCGAAAGCAGGGACUAGUGAUCCGGCACCUACGUGUGGUUGUGGUGUCGCUCAACGGAUAAAAGGUACCCCGGGGAUAACAGGCUGAUCUUCCCCAAGAGUUCAUAUCGACGGGAUGGUUUGGCACCUCGAUGUCGGCUCGUCGCAUCCUGGGGCUGGAGUAGGUCCCAAGGGUUGGGCUGUUCGCCCAUUAAAGCGGCACGCGAGCUGGGUUUAGAACGUCGUGAGACAGUUCGGUCUCUAUCCGCCGCGCGCGUGGAAACUUGAACAAGGCUGUCCCUAGUACGAGAGGACCGGGAUGGACGUACCUCUAGUGUGCCAGUUGUCACGCCGGUGGCAUGGCUGGUUGGCUAUGUGCGGGAGGGAUAACCG